UACGUAGGGAGCAAGCGUUGUCCGGAUUUACUGGGCGUAAAGAGCUCGUAGGCGGCUUAGAAAGUCAGGUGUGAAAACUCUGGGCUCAACCCAGAGACGCCACUUGAUACUUCUAUGGCUUGAGUUCGGUAGGGGGCCAUGGAAUUCCUGGUGUAGCGGUGAAAUGCGCAGAUAUCAGGAGGAACACCGAUGGCGAAGGCAGUGGUCUGGGCCGAUACUGACGCUGAGGAGCGAAAGCGUGGGGAGCGAACAGG
rnacentral:rRNA from 1 species